UAUAUAGAUAGUCUACGUCGCCAAGCGCAAGGCUCCUUUCACAAACCCCUUUAGGCUACACUCAAUCAAGGGAUUCUGGUUUCCGUUGUAAGCAUUAAAUCUACUGAGUGACCGCUUCGGACAGAGUCAGGGAGCACAGUGGUGAACGCCAUGUUGAGGAGAAUCUGGAGCCUUUUACAGCCACAUUAACUGCUAGAAACAAGGUCCUUAUCGAUGUUAACGCUUUUCUUUUCUUUUUUGAGCCAAGAUAUGUUUUCUAUUUAGAUCAAAGAGUUGAACGCAGGCUCUCAAACAUAAAUGCAUGUGUUUUCUCCACAGAUUCUCCUGUGUGAUGACACCCUUCAUCUCAUUAGAAAAUGGCGGUUUGUGCCCUUUCAAAACACAUGUCAAGGAAGAUUUCUUUUUAACAGUAAAUAACGAGUUAAUGCAAGCUAGGGGGGUAUUUAAAUGGUGUAUAUAUUCAAGGUAAUAUCUCUGUUAUUUUUAAAAGAAUAAAAGCAGGAAAGAAACUGUAGUUUUUACUCGUUUCCUCGUCACGUAUGCUUGAUUUUUCAAACAAAAGCCAAAUCCUGCAAAUUAGCAUGAGGAAGUUUACUCAUUGUGGAUCAACAGUUACACAAAAGAUUAUUUAAAUGUGAGUAUAUUUUAAAGGGGAUCAUUUGAGUCUCAAUUUGUGAAAAACAAUUUUAAAAAGCUAUUAAUAGCAGCCAGACACAGCUACCGUUACACUGAUUUUGUUUCAAAACUGGCAAGAACUAUCUUUAUAUUUUUGGUGAAAUACUUGUUUAACUGCAAAUCAUUUUAUUAAAUUCUGUGUUUCACACGCUGUAUAAUGUGAAGAAGACAUAGCUUGGGAUUUUCAUUUUUUUUAGUUUUUCAGUAUUUCAGCAAAAAAUGUAGUUUUUUGUAAUAAUCCUCUGUAGAUUUUUGCUUUUUUUGUGAUUUUGAAAUUACUGCAUUUUUUAUUGUUGUUGGGCAUUUGAUCAGUUGAACACACAUGUUCAGGCAGCACGAAAGUCUGAUGAAAGGGGGUGUUUUCACGCACAGUCACAUGCAUAUUUGCAGACUUGCUCACACAUUACAUUUAUAGCCUGCUGUAUGCAUGCAUGUCUUUGUCUCUCUCAUGUGAUUUACUUCCCUUCUGGCUGCUGUUAUUUUGCUGGUUUCAGCACCUUGAUUGAUUAGUUUCACUGUGAUUUGUGUUGAGAAAACUGGCUCUUGAAACAACUCAAAAGCAAUCAAUUUCUUCAAUAUCUUGCUUUCUAAAAGAAGAGAGAAACAUAAUUUGUUUUCACACUUGUAAUUUUAAAUUGGAUAAUGUUUAUUGCAAAAUAAAGUGCCUUAUUUGUUGAACCUGGA